rnacentral:lncRNA from 1 species
AGUGACUAGCGUUUCCCCACAGGAAAGACUCUGUGUGUGAUUGAUGCUGCUAUGCUGCUUGAAGCUGGCUGGCAGAAUAUGGUACACGAGGUGUGGACCGUCGUCAUCCCUGAGUCUGAGGUAUCUGAACCCCACUCCGCCCCAUCUGAGCCCACUGCAGACAGUUUCCUGCUCUGACCCAGUAGACGGGGCUGGGGCCCUUCCAGACCAGUCUGUCUGUCAUCCGUGCCCAGGCUGUACGUCGCAUUGUUGAGAGGGAUGGACUGAGUGAGGCAGCCGCUCAAAGCCGGCUGCAGAACCAGAUGAGUGGGCAGCAGCUGGUAGAGCAGAGCCACGUGGUUCUGUGCACCUUGUGGGAAUCACAUGUCACACAGCGCCAGGUGGAAAAGGCUUGGGAUCUUCUACAGAAACGCCUCCCCAAGGCUCACCAGACCAGGAACUGACAGUGGAUUUUCUGUGGCGCCACACUGGCCCUUGGAACUAACAAAUCUAAUGGUGAGGAGGAAUGGGGGCCUCGAUGUUUACCCUAUGUCAGGCCUCAGGGGCUUCAAGCUGAGCUGUGCAGGACACAGAGAGAAGCUUGGAAGUCGGCCUAGCAUGCUGGAAUUUGGCCAGCAAUGAGGACACAGCAAUGGGGAGCGGCCCCCUCUUGGGUUCUGUCUGCUUUUUGGUGGUGGAGAUUUGAUGUCUAACUAGUGUUAUGGGUUGUAGUGAAGACUGGACCCAGUAACUAAAUUAAAGAUGUUUCCAAGUGC